GACGAACGCUGGCGGCGUGCUCAACACAUGCAAGUCGAACGGUAAGGCCCUUCGGGGUACACGAGUGGCGAACGGGUGAGUAACACGUGGGUGAUCUGCCCUGCACUUCGGGAUAAGCCUGGGAAACUGGGUCUAAUACCGGAUAGGACCACUGCCUGCAUGGGUGGUGGUGGAAAGCUUUUGCGGUGUGGGAUGGGCCCGCGGCCUAUCAGCUUGUUGGUGGGGUGAUGGCCUACCAAGGCGACGACGGGUAGCCGGCCUGAGAGGGUGACCGGCCACACUGGGACUGGGAUACGGCCCAGAGUCCUACGGGAGGCGGCAGUGGGGAAUAUUGCACAAUGGGCGCAAGCCUGAUGCAGCGACGCCGCGUGAGGGAUGACGGCCUUCGGGUUGUAAACCUCUUUCAGCACCGACGAAGCGCAAGUGACGGUAGGUGCAGAAGAAGGACCGGCCAACUACGUGCCAGCCGCCGCCGUAA
rnacentral:rRNA from 1 species